UACGAAGGGGGCUAGCGUUGUUCGGAAUUACUGGGCGUAAAGCGCACGUAGGCGGAUUGUUAAGUCGGGGGUGAAAUCCCAGGGCUCAACCCUGGAACUGCCUCCGAUACUGGCAAUCUGGAGUCCGGGAGAGGUGAGUGGAAUUCCGAGUGUAGAGGUGAAAUUCGUAGAUAUUCGCAAGAACACCAGUGGCGAAGGCGGCUCACUGGCCCGGUACUGACGCUGAGGUGCGAAAGCGUGGGGAGCAAACAGG
rnacentral:rRNA from 1 species